UUUAAGGUCUAGUCUGCCCACUGAAUUUAUAUUUUAAAUGGCCGCAGUAUUUUGACUGUGCAAAGGUAGCAUAAUCAUUAGUUUUUUAAUUAAAAGCUUGUAUGAAAGGCUGGACGAGGUAAAAUCUGUCUCUAUUUAAAUUAUAAUAGAAUUUAACUUUUAAGUUAAAAGGCUUAAAUAUUAUUAAAAGACGAGAAGACCCUAUAGAUCUUUAUAAUUUGUUAAAUAAAAUUUAUUUAGAAUUAUUUAUGUUUUAUUUAAUUGAAUUAUUUUAUUGGGGUAAUGGAAAGAUUGAAUUAAUUCUUUUUUAUGAUAAACAUUAAUUUAUGAAUAUUAGAUGAUCCAGUUUUACUGAUUAGAAGAUUAAGUUACCUUAGGGAUAACAGCGUAAUUUUUUUAGAGAGUUCAUAUCGAUAAAAAAGUUUGCGACCUCGAUGUUGGAUUAAAGAUUAUUUUAGGUGCAGAAGCUUAAUAAUUUUGGUCUGUUCGACCA
rnacentral:rRNA from 1 species